rnacentral:misc_RNA from 1 species
UUUCCGUAGGUGAACCUGCGGAAGGAUCAUUCAUAAUAAAGUGUUUUAUGGCACUUUUUAAAAAUCCAAAUCCACCUUGUGUGCAAUGUUAGAUCUCGUCAAUCUUGGCGAGAUUUUUAUACAUCAACUCAUUUUUUAACUAAUUUGUCUGAAAAAUAUUAUGAAUACUUAAUUCAAAAUACAACUUUCAACAACGGAUCUCUUGGCUCUC